CAAUUGCUGACGUCAUUAGAAUUUUCCAUUUUAGAAAAACAAUGCGCUAUAUCUCUUUAUUUUGUCUGGUGACCUAUGUUCAAAUUUUGCAUGCUGUAUUAAACCGCUAAAAACUUUCAUUAUACAAAAAAUAAAAAAAUUCUGUAAUGCCAAAAAAAUUUUACCGAAGAAUAUGACAUUUUCGCAUUUUCCAAAAAAAUG